rnacentral:tRNA from 1 species
GGUGGCUUAGUGGUAGAGUGCUUGCCUUGCAAGCAAAAGGCCCUGGGUUCGAUUCCUCAGCACCA